CUUUAUUUAACCAGGUAGGCCAGUUGAGAACACCUUUAUUUAACCAGGUAGGCUAGUUGAGAACACCUUUAUUUAACCAGGUAGGCCAGUUGAGAACACCUUUAUUUAACCAGGUAGGCCAGUUGAGAACACCUUUAUUUAACCAGGUAGGCCAGUUGAGAACACCUUUAUUUAACCAGGUGGCCAGUUGAGAACACCUUUAUUUAACCAGGUAGGCCAGUUGAGAACACCUUUAUUUAACCAGGUGGCCAGUUGAGAACACCUUUAUUUAACCAGGUAGGCCAGUUGAGAACACCUUUAUUUAACCAGGUAGGCCAGUUGAGAACACCUUUAUUUAACCAGGUAGGCCAGUUGAGAACACCUUUAUUUAACCAGGUGGCCAGUUGAGAACACCUUUAUUUAACCAGGUAGGCCAGUUGAGAACACCUUUAUUUAACCAGGUAGGCAAGUUGAGAACACCUUUAUUUAACCAGGU